GCGCUGGUGGUGAAAUGGUAUCAUGCUUGCCUUCCAAGCAAGCGGCCUGGGUUCGAUUCCCAGCUAGCGCA